UACGGAGGGUGCAAGCGUUGUCCGGAUUUACUGGGUUUAAAGGGUCCGCAGGCGGGCUUUUAAGUCAGUGGUGAAAGCCUACAGCUUAACUGUAGAACUGCCAUUGAUACUGAAAGUCUUGAGUAUAGCUGAGGUGGGCGGAAUUUAUAAUGUAGCGGUGAAAUGCAUAGAUAUUAUAAAGAACACCAAUUGCGAAGGCAGCUCACUAAACUAUUACUGACGCUCAUGGACGAAAGCGUGGGGAGCGAACAGG
rnacentral:rRNA from 1 species